rnacentral:piRNA from 1 species
UCGACAUACAGAUGGUAGUGGAAGUC